UGAUGAAUUAAUCUAUCUGGCAGCC
rnacentral:piRNA from 1 species